rnacentral:lncRNA from 1 species
GACGUGAUGCCCGGUCAACAUUAAAUACAGACAGACAGAUAAAAAAUAAAAAAAAUACAUUCUCGGAUAAAUAAUGCCUUCCACUAAAUUUUCAAAAUAUCUUCAAUGUACAGACCUAUGACCUGUUAUAGUUUUAUUAUAAGUAUAUACUUAGAUAAAAUUACUCGAUAUUUAGAUACAGACAACGAUAUCAUCAUUACCAGCCGUUUUUUAAAUGGAUCAUUGCAGCUCUAUCUCUGUUCUUUAAUGAGUUAGUAAAAUUACAAAAAAAAACUAAAAUAAAUAAUUUCUCGUCGAUAGUCAUUUCCCUCUCUGGACAAUCCUCCUCAGCAGUCGGCAGGAAGGGAAGGUCGUCCGUACUCUUUCUCCUUGCUACCGCUCUCAUGCUGUCUCUAAUCAUUGAACGACGCUGUAAAAAGAUUCGAUCACGCAGAGAUUCUCCAAUCAUAGCCCGCUUCAUCGCCCUCUGAGUGACUGAGCCUUUUUAUGAGGGCCACAGUUAGCGACCAAGUCUCGGAUCCGAGUACUCAGAAUUUCUUCAAAAAAUAUUUCUUAGAAGAAUAUUCAUAACCUGCCAACCUAGAACUCACAACUCAAUCAACAAUUUCCCAAUUCCAGGCUGCUUAUUACCUAUAUAGAAUUUAUUGAAAGAAAGAAGGAAAAUUAAAGCUCUAUAUGUUAAAACACUAAAGACUGGAUGCAACCAAUGGACAAAUGAGGCACAAUAAUAAUGUAUAGCGAAAAGCUUCGACCAACACCUUAAGAAGCUUUUGCAUAUCUGUUGGAUCAAGGGUCGGGUACAGAAGGCAGUGAUUCUUGAGACGGCACGUAUUGUAAGAGGUUACGUUCUGGAGCCCUGACCACCGUUGCUUGGGCACUCAAAUGACCCGCAGCGGGAGGGGUUUUUUUUUCAUUUUAA